GACGAUUGGAAAUUAAAGUGCAAGGAAAUUUAAAUUCUGAAUUACAAUUUGUUGGAAAAAUAGAAACAUACUUGAGGAGUAUUUUUCCAAGAAUGAUGGAAAUACAAGUGAAACAUGUCUCGAUUCCCACACAAUGAGAACAAAAUAACAACUAAUCCUACUCUAAGCUUUGAAAGGAGCCAACAUCAAGCUAGAGGCUUAAUUAAGACUUGGUCAAGAGCUAUUCCCAACCUAAUGCUUAAACAAUUGCUAAACCUAGCAAUGAGACAAAGUGAGUGAUGUAGUAAAUCCCUUCUCUUCUCUUCUCUUCCUUUAUCUUUCUCGAUUUCCACCUCCACCAAAACUCCAAAAGGGGCAGCCCCUAGGCGUGCAAAUCAACACAAAAAUGGGGUUAGAAAAAGUGACUUAUAAGAAAGGAAGGGGAGGGGGCCAGCUCGAUUGAACAUGGAGAGUAAACAGGCUGAGUUGUACAGCCAAGAGGCUGCCUCAUCAGGCAGUAAGACAGCCAUUUCGUCACAUUCCCCUCUUACACCAAAGUAGAGGUUAGGACAAAGGAGCAUAGUAGAAUGAACCCAAUGUUCAUACUCAAAAUGAGCAUGAAUCAUAUCCUUUUUUCCGUCACCAAGGCUGGGAGAAAACUGCCAAGGAGGGCAGCCCCAAACAUUCAUCAACUUAGUAAGAGUAGCAGUAUCACAAAGGUCGAAAGGGAGCUAAGGAACAGCCCAAAAUUAGCAUCACCACCUCCCAAAAAUCAGGCACAAUAUGCCAAUAUGUGAGAGCUAUAUAAACAAGCCCCCUCACCACUCCCUUCUCCCAGAUAAUUCGACGCUAUCGCGAGAAGUGCAGCGAAGGGGAGGGAAGAGGAGCGAGGGCGGCGAGAGAUCGGUCCACAACCGAGAAAGGUCACCAAGCAAGGCUAUCUUCGCAAGUUAAGGGUGGAGUCAGGAAAAUUCAAGUUCAGGAGUUUUAAGCGAAUGAGGUAGGCUUUCGAACUAAAGUAUUUUAGUGACCUUUCAGUUUAAAGUAUGUUUACAAUUUUUACGAGAAGUAUUUUACGUGGGCUUUCUAGUUAUUAUACAGUUUUUUCGAGCUUUCUAUUGUGAUAUAUGAUUGUGGGCUUUCGAACUAAGAUAUUUUUAAGGCUUUCUGUUUAAAGUAUGUUUAUAGUUUUAUGAGAAGUAUUUUUUGUGUGCUUCUAUUUAAGAUGUGAUGUUAAGUGCGGGCUUGCUAUUUAAUGUGAAGUAUUAUGAAAAAUGCUAUUUGCUUGGUGUUAUUAUAUGAUGUUAUGUGUUGCUCUACCAGUGCUUGUGAAGUGUAGCUUUUGUUGAAGUUUUGAGUUCGGCUUUGACCGAUAGAAAUGAGUUUGUUCCCAAUAUGUUUGCGAGUAAAAUGAAGUAUUGAAAGAUUUGAGUUCGGCUUUGACCGAUAGAAAUGAGUUUGUUCCAAAUAUGUUUACGAGGAAAAUAAAGUUGCAAAGGUUAUGUCAAGCCAUGUUUUGUUUUGAAUAAUGCCUAUCUGAUUGACUAGCAAGGCGAUGUCCCUACUAGACCAGGAGUUUCAGUUUUGUGAAUUCGGUACUGUAAGUGGGAUGAGCUCAUACAUUCCGUUUCACCAGGAGUUAGUGAAUUCGGGUUUGUAAGUGGGAUAAGCCCAUACAUUCCGGUUCACUAGGAGUUUCGUGAAUUCUGUUCACUAGGAGGUUAGUGGGCUUCUGUUCCCCAGGAGUUAGUCAGAUAUGACAUAUGUUCUAGGAAAAAUCGACAAAUCGCUUUUGAAAAAGGAAAAAAAAGGAAAAUGUUUUAGUGUUCUCGGACAUUUUCUUAAAACCCCGAGUUCACUCAAAGAGUGGCUAGACAAAACUAGUUUCUCAGUAAAAUAUAUUUCGGCACGUGUCCACUGAGUACACCAAGUACUCAGCCCUGCAUAUGUUUUAAAAAUGUGAAGGUUGAGCAGUGAUGACGGCGGGCGGUGUUGAGCAUAGACGAUGAAGAUCCUUCGAUAGAAUAGUACUCGGAUGCGACGUGUCUCCAUACACGACGUUAUCUGCUCUUGACUCUUCCGCUGCAAUGUGAAAGUCGAGUUUGCGCUCUUUGUAUCGUGCACUUUGAUAUAUAUUAUUUGAGUUAUUUCGGUUCAA